CAGCCGCCACGGGAAAACGUAGGGGGCAAGCGUUAUCCGGAUUUACUGGGUGUAAAGGGAGCGCAGGCGGUCUGGCAAGUUGAGAGUGGAAGCAGGGGGCUCAACCCCCUGACUGCUCCCAAAACUGUUGGACUGGAGUAUGGGAGAGGCAGGCGGAGUUCCUAGUGUAGCGGUGAAAUGCUCAGAUAUUAGGAAGAACACCGGUGGCGAAGGCGGCCUGCUGGACCAAAACUGACGCUGAGGCUCGAGAGCGUGGGGAGCGAACAGGAUUAGAUACCCCCGUAGUCCCUGUCACUUAUAC
rnacentral:rRNA from 1 species